rnacentral:rRNA from 1 species
GUAGGGAAUAUUGGGCAAUGGAGGCAACUCUGACCCAGCCAUGCCGCGUGCAGGAUGACGGCCCUCUGGGUUGUAAACUGCUAUUAUACGGGAAGAAAAAAUACUACGUGUAGUAUACUGACGGUACCGUAAGAAUAAGGAUCGGCUAACUCCGUGCCAGCAGCCGCGGUAAUACGGAGGAUCCAAGCGUUGUCCGGAUUUAUUGGGUUUAAAGGGUGCGUAGGCGGAUCUUUAAGUCAGUGGUGAAAGCCUGCAGCUUAACUGUAGAAUUGCCAUUGAAACUGAAGAUCUUGAAUGUGGUUAAAGUAGGCGGAAUGUAUCAUGUAGCGGUGAAAUGCUUAGAUAUGAUACAGAACACCGAUAGCGAAGGCAGCUUGCUGAACCAUUAUUGACGCUGAGGCACGAAAGCGUGGGGAGCGAACAGGAUUAGAAACCCGGGUAGUCC